AUUGAACGCUGGCGGCAGGCUUAACACAUGCAAGUCGAGCGGUAAGAGAGAGAAGCUUGCUUCUCUGCUGACGAGCGGCGGACGGGUGAGUAAUGCCUAGGAAUCUGCCUAGUAGUGGGGGAUAACUUGCCGAAAGGUAAGCUAAUACCGCAUACGUCCUACGGGAGAAAGGAGGGGACCUUCGGGCCUUUCGCUAUUAGAUGAGCCUAGGUCGGAUUAGUUAGUUGGUGAGGUAAUGGCUCACCAAGACCGCGAUCCGUAACUGGUCUGAGAGGAGGAUCAGUCACACUGGAACUGAGACACCGUCCAGACUCCUACGGGAGGCAGCAGUGGGGCAUAUUGGACAAUGGGGGGAACCCUGAUCCAGCCAUGCCGCGUGUGUGAAGAAGGUCUUAGGAUUGUAAAGCACUUUAAGUUGGGAGGAAGAGCAGUUAACUAAUAUUUGACUGUUUUGACGUUACCGACAGAAUAAGCACCGGCUAACUUCGUGCCAGCAGCCGCCGUAA
rnacentral:rRNA from 1 species